GCAGAGAGGAGGGGCUCCUGCACAGAUACAGGAGAUGUAGGGGACUUCUGGAGCAGAUGAUAUCCUAAAAGGUCAAGACUGCUGAGGUGGAGAAAUCUGACAAGAUGAUGUUUUUAACCACCACUACUACCACUUCUUGUGGACAUUUCUGAAGGAGCUGAAAAUCUGAGACCACUUCUGACCAUGAUCAGAUAUGAGACAAUGACAGAGAACUGAACUGCCCAGUAUGGUAGUUACUGGCCACAUGGACUACUGAGAACUUGAAAUAUUCCUGAUGAGAAAGAUCCUUAGAGGUCACUAAUGCAGUCAUUGCAUGUCCCAGCGGGGAAACACAAAGGCUAGAAGUAAAAGAGUGAGCACCUUUCAGUUGUGAAGCUGUGAGAUUCUAUGGCACUGGCCCACAAAGAUGAGUAACCCAUAGUGCAAGAUCUCUUCCAGAUUUGGCUUCUUCUUCUGUUCCCAAAACCUGCUGCAGGGGCUAAAACUGAAGAGUGGAAUUGGAAGUAGAUAGACUGGAAAAGCAGAGAAAUCACUAAAAGGAAAACUCUAUCCUCAAGGAUCUCUCUUAUAAACGUAAUGGAGAAGUGAAACAAAUGCACUUCAUACAAUUAGGAGAAUGUUAUGAAACAAUAUGUAAUUAAGUACCAAAUUGUGUGGCACAGAGAAGGCGGAAAGCUUUAUGUAUUUCAAGAGCCUGGAAGUCUUUUUGAAGGAAUUUGGACACAUGAAGUGACUUUGAAUCUUGACAGCAUGUGGAUGAUUGAAGACAUGGAGGUCUCUUCUGUGUGUAAGAAAAAUCUGGAACACCUGAUUGACUCUGGACUCAUGCAGCCUUGAGAAAAUUACCAAAGCUCUUCAAACCUCAACUUCCUUAUUUAUAAAAUGGGAAUAAAACAACAUCAUUGGGAAAGGAUUUGCCUAAAAGAAAAUACUCCAUCACAAACAGAGGAGUGAAACUGAAUUCCUUGCCUAAGGAGUAUAGAGGAUGGGGAGAUGAUGAUCACGUGUUUUUUCUAGGAUUUACUUUACUUUAACCAUAGGACUAGGCCUUGUAGCCAAACACCCUUAUCUGCUAAGCAAGGAGCACCAAGUGACAAGUUACUGUAGGCUUCUUAUGCAAGGAAAUUUAGUCUACAUCUGUGCCCUUGUUUAUAUUAUAUAUAAAAUUAUAAAAUGUUGGUGUGCCUUUGCUCUACUGAGACUUACCCAGAGGGUGGGGUGAGUGAAUCUGCAUGAUAUCAUCGAUGCAUCAAAUGGAAGGAGCUCAAAUAUAUCUUGGAAACUUUUAGGACUCAUGGAGCUAUAAUAUGACCAAAAUGCAUAA